GACGAACGCUGGCGGCGUGCCUAAUACAUGCAAGUCGAACGAGAGCGACCGGUGCUUGCACUGGUCAAUCUAGUGGCGAACGGGUGAGUAACACGUGGGUAACCUGCCCAUCAGAGGGGGAUAACAUUCGGAAACGGAUGCUAAAACCGCAUAGGUCCUUUAACCGCAUGGUUGAAGGAGGAAAAGAGGCGCAAGCUUCUGCUGAUGGAUGGACCCGCGGUGCAUUAGCUAGUUGGUGAGGUAACGGCUCACCAAGGCCGUGAUGCAUAGCCGACCUGAGAGGGUGAUCGGCCACAUUGGGACUGAGACACGGCCCAAACUCCUACGGGAGGCAGCAGUAGGGAAUCUUCCGCAAUGGACGCAAGUCUGACGGAGCAACGCCGCGUGAGUGAAGAAGGUUUUCGGAUCGUAAAACUCUGUUGUUAGAGAAGAACAAGUGCUAGAGUAACUGUUAGCG
rnacentral:rRNA from 1 species